rnacentral:misc_RNA from 1 species
UAACAAUUUCAGCGAAGAGAACAUCUUGGGACGGGGUGGUUUCGGGACUGUCUACAAAGGUGAGCUGCAUGAUGGUACCAAAAUUGCAGUGAAAAGAAUGGAGGCAGGGGUGAUGGGGACUAAGGGAUUGAAUGAAUUCAAAUCGGAGAUUGCGGUGCUUACCAAGGUCAGGCAUCGGAAUUUGGUGUCGCUUCUCGGAUAUUGCUUGGAUGGGAAUGAGAGGUUGUUGGUGUAUGAGUACAUGCCUCAGGGUACUUUGAGCCAUCAUCUCUUUGAUUGGAAGGAACUAGGGUUGAAGCCAUUGGAUUGGAAGAAAAGACUUAGCCUAGCUUUGGAUGUGGCG